rnacentral:rRNA from 1 species
UAGCACAGAGAGCUUGCUCUCGGGUGACGAGCGGCGGACGGGUGAGUAAUGUCUGGGAAACUGCCUGAUGGAGGGGGAUAACUACUGGAAACGGUAGCUAAUACCGCAUAAUGUCGCAAGACCAAAGUGGGGGACCUUCGGGCCUCAUGCCAUCAGAUGUGCCCAGAUGGGAUUAGCUAGUAGGUGGGGUAACGGCUCACCUAGGCGACGAUCCCUAGCUGGUCUGAGAGGAUGACCAGCCACACUGGAACUGAGACACGGUCCAGACUCCUACGGGAGGCAGCAGUGGGGAAUAUUGCACAAUGGGCGCAAGCCUGAUGCAGCCAUGCCGCGUGUGUGAAGAAGGCCUUCGGGUUGUAAAGCACUUUCAGCGGGGAGGAAGGCGGUGAGGUUAAUAACCUCAUCGAUUGACGUUACCCGCAGAAGAAGCACCGGCUAACUCCGUGCCAGCAGCCGCGGUAAUACGGAGGGUGCAAGCGUUAAUCGGAAUUACUGGGCGUAAAGCGCACGCAGGCGGUCUGUCAAGUCGGAUGUGAAAUCCCCGGGCUCAACCUGGGAACUGCAUUCGAAACUGGCAGGCUAGAGUCUUGUAGAGGGGGGUAGAAUUCCAGGUGUAGCGGUGAAAUGCGUAGAGAUCU